GAACUGCUUAUUCUGCCCAGUUAGUUUUGAGCUCACCAUCAUCAGAAGAGCCAAGAGGGUCACAGCAGUGCAAGUUAUCAUCAACUUCAGCCAGACACUCAUAUGUGGCAGGUUUUUGUUUUGUUUUUGCUGAGUAUAUUAUAUAGAGACUGUUGAAAAUCAAGCCUUUAAAGAACUAACUACAUAAGACUUGUAAAUAGAAAAUAUUCUGUGGCAAAUAUUUAUACAUAGGUUCUGCCCUAAGAAGCCUAUUUUAAAAAAAAGCUUCAUCAUCAAAAAGCAUUCUUUGAAAAGGAUGUUCAGAAAUCAGAAUAUACUGACACAAUGUAUGCUAUCUUAGCCAGGGGGCAAAGAUCUGUACGAGAUCUAAAAAUAGGAUGAGAGGAGGCACUUGCCUUUCUAACUUAAGGCUCUAACAAGCUCAUGAAAUAGAAUGUGUUGGACUGCAGAAGUGAAGGAGAGAGAUGAAGCCAGGGAGAAAGAAAAUAUAUUUCCAUGAACAUGGGAAAGCUACAUUAAGGCAGACUUGCAGAAGGCACAGCCUGUUCCUAGCACCACACCUGUGAGGCACCUCAUCAUGCAAGGCUGGAAACUGAGCAGUAUUUCUAGCUGCUUGGUCAUCCCCAUAAUGAGAACAGCCAUGGACCUGCAUGAAAGGGGCUGAGUAUAUUACUUAUAGAAGUAAGAUAACCAAGCCAAAAAAGAGGAGGAUUUCUGGCUGAAGAAGUGUGACACUAUCUGGGACAAACUGAGAGAAGAUGUUCAUAGGAAAACAUAAUCUUCUACUAAUACUGGGCUCUCUGUGUCUGAGGAAUAAAAUAAGCAAUUGUGAGAAAUUAUUUUGCCCAGCCUGUUGUAUCUCACAUUGUCUCUGAGGAGGAUAAAUAGAAAACAAGAACUUCUCACUGCCAAGAGUCAAGGGGGUGAAUAUAUGCUACCAGAAACUCUAGCACUGAUUCCAGGGACUGACUGAAACAUCCACCAGUCUCAUGGGGUGAAAAGUCUGUACAUGAAACUGCAUCUCUUAGCAACACAAUUAGAAAAAAUGGCCAGUGACAUAGAGUCAAGCAUAACUAAGGCCUUGCAGGUAUUUUUUCCCUUCCUUUCUGUUUUUAACAAUUUCUGACUGAGAAAUACCAACAGAGGUGAGCUUAUACCUAGGGAGCAUAAACAGAAUCAGUCAAAGUAAGAGAAAUUUAAUUUCCAUAUUGAAAAGAAAUGGAAACAAAAACUUAGG